rnacentral:rRNA from 1 species
GCCUCGCAAGAGGAGCGGCAGACGGGUGAGUAACGCGUGGGAAUCUACCGUACCCUACGGAAUAGCUCCGGGAAACUGGAAUUAAUACCGUAUACGCCCUUUGGGGGAAAGAUUUAUCGGGGUAUGAUGAGCCCGCGUUGGAUUAGCUAGUUGGUGGGGUAAAGGCCUACCAAGGCGACGAUCCAUAGCUGGUCUGAGAGGAUGAUCAGCCACAUUGGGACUGAGACACGGCCCAAACUCCUACGGGAGGCAGCAGUGGGGAAUAUUGGACAAUGGGCGCAAGCCUGAUCCAGCCAUGCCGCGUGAGUGAUGAAGGUCUUAGGAUUGUAAAGCUCUUUCACCGAUGAAGAUAAUGACGGUAGUCGGAGAAGAAGCCCCGGCUAACUUCGUGCCAGCAGCCGCGGUAAUACGAAGGGGGCUAGCGUUGUUCGGAAUUACUGGGCGUAAAGCGCACGUAGGCGGAUAAUUAAGUCAGGGGUGAAAUCCCGCAGCUCAACUGCGGAACUGCCUUUGAUACUGGUUAUCUUGAGUAUGGAAGAGGUAAGUGGAAUUGCGAGUGUAGAGGUGAAAUUCGUAGAUAUUCGCAGGAACACCAGUGGCGAAGGCGGCUUACUGGUCCAUU